CCAAAAAUAGGGUGCUUAGCUACUCAUGUUUGAACUCAUCAUCCAAAAUAAGUAAUUAAUCAUACCCAAAACAAGUCUUGAAGUUAAAAAAUUGAAAAGAAUGUCUAAGAACCCUAAAAGAGAGAAAUUUUUUCUUUUUCGCCACUGCUAUCUUUUCCCAAAAGUCCCCCAAAAUUAUAUUGGAUUUUCCUUUUAUAGCCAGGACAAAACACUUACAAUCUUCCCAAUUUUUCCACACAGCGCGUUGUGCCAUGCCUUCAAUUACUAUUUUCCAUAAAAAUCUAGGCAAUCGCGAAGCUUAAGUAUUCCUUGAAAUAUGUAAAAUGCACCCUUACCGCAAUGCGUCACUAUCGCGGUGAGCCGCUGGAUUUGCACAAUUAUGAAAUAUCCAUCCUCCGCGAUGCACUAAACUUCUAGUUCGCAUAAUUUGAUAAGUGGAACGGCUCUGUGAUGCAGUGGUUUCGCGGACCUAUA
rnacentral:lncRNA from 1 species